rnacentral:tRNA from 1 species
GUGGCUAUAGCGCAGUUGGUUAGCGCGUCUGGUUGUGGCCCAGAAGGUCGUGGGUUCAAAUCCCACUAGCCACC